UACAGAGGGUGCGAGCGUUAAUCGGAAUUACUGGGCGUAAAGCGUGCGUAGGCGGUUCGUUAAGUCUGUCGUGAAAGCCCUGGGCUCAACCUGGGAAUUGCGAUGGAUACUGGCGAGCUAGAGUACGGUAGAGGAUGGUGGAAUUCCCGGUGUAGCGGUGGAAUGCGUAGAGAUCGGGAGGAACACCUGAGGCGAAGGCGGGCUACUGGGCCGAUACUGACGCUGAUGCGCGAAAGCCAGGGGAGCGAACGGG
rnacentral:rRNA from 1 species